GGGUAACCAUGAUAUGCUGCUAGGUGUCACUCAUGGUUUGUGGAAGCCCUAAAGAUUAGCAAACACUAAAUUUAAGGGAGAAUUGAAAUGUGGUUUCAAUUCAUAAUCGAUCGUUAAGAGUAACAAUCACCCACUACCUCGCUAAAUGGAACCUAAUGGAUCUUACACUGAGUAAGGAUGUUGGUGAAGAAGUUAAAUGAAAUGGAUAAGCAAUUAAAUGGUUUAAUUGAAGA
rnacentral:lncRNA from 1 species